rnacentral:rRNA from 1 species
GAUUCCUACGGGAGGCAGCAGUGAGGAAUAUUGGUCAAUGGGCGCAAGCCUGAACCAGCCAAGUCGCGUGAGGGAUGACGGUCCUAUGGAUUGUAAACCUCUUUUGUCGGGGAGCAAGGCCCGCCACGUGUGGCGGGAAGGAGAGUACCCGAAGAAAAAGCAUCGGCUAACUCCGUGCCAGCAGCCGCGGUAAUACGGAGGAUGCGAGCGUUAUCCGGAUUUAUUGGGUGUAAAGGGAGCGUAGACGGCAAUGCAAGUCCGGAGUGGAAUGCGGCAGCUCAACUGCCGAACUGCUCUGGAAACUG